GUGGGGACGACGUCAAGUCAUCAUGGCCCUACGAGUAGGGCUACACACGUGCUACAAUGGCGCAUACAGAGGGCGGCCAACUUGCGAGAGUGAGCGAAUCCCAAAAAGUGCGUCGUAGUCCGGAUUGGAGUCUGCAACUCGACUCCAUGAAGUCGGAAUCGCUAGUAAUCGUGGAUCAGAAUGCCACGGUGAAUACGUUCCCGGGCCUUGUACACACCGCCUGUCACACCAUGGGAGU
rnacentral:rRNA from 1 species